CUGUGACUAACAGACAUAGUCCUUUAGCCAACCUGGCUCACGUCUUUGACGUUUCUCCCGUGGACAAGCAUCAGAAGACACUGAAUUUCCAGACAAUGGAACAUGAGAGGGAAUCAAGUUUUCAGCAUUGGUGGUCAGUCCAUUAUCCAGCGCAUUAGUCGGCACGGGUGCGAGACACGAUGCAUGCCACUUCCUUCCAUCAUCCAAGAGAUGGAGCAGAUGCCAAGCCAUAAGGUACCUUGCAAAACCUGAAGAGGCCUUCGUGUGUAAUGAAUGCAGUGAGGUCCCGGCUGUCUUCAUGAAGAGGUACCUGAUGAUCCACACACAUGCGGAUCCCCCCUGUUUUCUUUUGGACCACAACAAUUGGAGAAACCCAUGGAGAGGAGUCAAUCCUUUCAAUUACACCUGCAUGCAAGAGUCGUUGCAGUUCUGCAGAAACAGCAUCUCUCACAGAGAAAGCCCAAUGUAGCACGCUGUGAUGGAGGAGUGGAGAGUUCACAGACUGAAGCAGAUUGUGGCGGCGGCAGCACAGUGUUUCCAUCAAAUCGAAGCUGGAGUCCCUUAAUCAGGUCCCUGCCUAGCAAAGCUGUGCCAUUGUCAACGAUGAAGAAGUGUGCAGGACAGGAUGGACACUGAUGAACCAGAGUCCACUGUGAGUUGAAGAGAGACAGGGAUGGCAGCAGGUGUGGCAUUUAUAAUCACACAUCAAACGGUCAGUUGCUCCAGCAGAUGCUGCGGGGCAGUUCUGUGCGUUUGCAAGAUGUCCAGCAGAGCCACAGUGAAAGCAUGUCCGAGCUGACAGAGCAGAAGCAGAGGGUUUUGAUGAGGUACGUGCUUUGAAUUUGGCUUUAGGACGCUGUCGUCCAGAAGCAGGAGUGGAAUGUACAGCAUGUACUGGAGCAGGGUUGCUUGUAG
ensembl:lncRNA